ensembl:lncRNA
AAGUCCAGCUCUUCUGACGACAGCUCCUCUUCCUCAUCUUCCUCCUGCUCCUCCUCCUCUUCUUCCUCCUCUGAUAGUGAGGAUGAUGAGGUGAGGACACCAAACACACAGGACACUCUUUCCAUAUCAAAUGUCAGUUAUGAACAGGAAGUCAGUGUAAUUCUCUGAGACUUUCAUCUUCUGUGUCUUCCAAAAAAAACUAAAGGACAAGAAGAAGAAAGAGAAGAAAAAGAAGAAAGAUAAGAAGAAUAAAGACAAGAAGAAAGAUAAGAAGAAAGACAAGAAAAAGAAGAAGAAGAAGGUGAGAACAUAACUCUGAUCCUUAGGUCUCCAGCCGUGUCAGUCGGUGCUGUAGAGUCUGUCGGCCUGUAGAGAGGACUCGUGGUGUAACUGUUGUGUCUCUCAGGACGACAGCUCAGACUCAGACAGUGAUGAAGACAAGAAGAAGAAGAAGAAGAAGAAGAAGAAGAAGAAGAAGAAGAAGGAGUCCAGCUCUUCUGAUGACAGCUCCUCUUCCUCAUCCUCCUCGUCUUCCUCCUCCUCUGAUAGUGAGGAUGAUGAGGUGAGAAGUCUAAACACACAGGAUAUAUUUUCAAUAUUAAAUGUCAGCUAUUAACAGGAAGUCAGCAUGAUUCUCUGUGCCUUCAAUCCACUUUCAUCUGUGUCUUCCAAAAAGAAAAAGAACAAGAAAAAGAAAGAUAAGAAAAAGAAGAAGGAUAAGAAGAAUAAAGACAAGAAGAAAGAUAAGAAGAAAGAUAAGAAAAAGAAGAAAAAGAAGGUGAGAUUCUCAUCCUUAAAUGCCCUUACUUACGGAGGUCAGUUGGCAUGUUUCAAUCGUCUUUCGUGAGGCGUCUGCAUUAAGUUUUUUCUGCUUUGAGUUACAGUUGACAUUAGCAAUUCAACUAAUAUUUUAUUUUAUUUUGUGAGAGCUUUAAACCUCCGGCCGUGUGAGUUUGCAGCUGCAGUCGUCUUUUGCAGGACUGGUAGUGUAAGUGUGUUGUUGUGUCUCUCAGGACGACAGCUCUGACUCAGACAGUGAUGAUGACAAAAAGAAGAAGAAGAAGAAGAAGAAGCAGAAGGACUCAUCUGACAGUGAGGAUGACAAGAAGAAAAAGAAGAAGAAAGACAAAAAGAAAAAGGAUGCUUCCUCAUCUGACUCUGAUUCUUCUUGUGAUGAGAAGAAAAAGAAGAAGAAGAAGAAGGAUAAGAAGAAGAAGAAGAAGAAGAAGGAAAAGUCAAAGGACUCUGAUUCUUCAAGCAGUGAUGAUGAUAAGAAGAAAAAGAAGAAGAAAAAGAAGAAGAAGAAGCAGAAGAAGAAGGACUCCAGUUCAAGUUCAUCUGACAGUGACAGCGGCAAAGAUAAGGAUAAAAAGAAGAAGAAGAAGAAGAAGGAUAAGAAAAAGAAGAAGAAGAAGGACAAAGGUCCACCAAGUUCAUGUGAUAGUGAAGGUGGCAACGAUGAGAAGAAGAAGAAGGAUAAGAAGGGCUCAUCAGGGAGUGACACUGACAAGGAGAACAAGAAGCAGGAGCUGUUUCCUCGGGCUGAAUUCCACCCUCUUGAUCGGGAGCCCACAGAAGAGGAACCUGAGCCAGGAAGAUCCAUUGCUGAGCCGGAGGACCUCACAUCUUUGGCUGUGCGGUCCAUAAUUGCCCAGCCCCAGAACCAGGGUCUUCAGGGCAUUGUGACUGCAAUGAUGGUCAAUGACCAACAGCGGGAUGCUGUGCAAGCUGCCACUGUCGGUCAGAGCACCAGCAACCUUUGGCACACUCUUAGGGAGGGCAGACUGACGGCCAGCAAUUUUGGCGCCGUGUUGCCAGCUCUGCUGAGGGGAAGGAGUGUUGCUCCAUCGGUCAUUGGAAUGUUGCUAAGCCCCAGAUCCCUUGACCAUUUGCCAGCGAUCCAGUGGGGACGUAUGAAUGAGAUCGAGGGAAUCAAGGCCUUUGAGCAGGCCAAAAAUGUUCAGGUCAACGAGUCAGGCCUUUGGCUUGCACCGUCAGGGAUGCUGGGCGCUUCACCAGACGGUUUGGUGGGAGAAUCAUCCAUCAUCGAGGUUAAGUGUCCUUACAGUGCCCGAUGCCUGACAAUUGAAGAGUCUUCAAAAAAUAAAGACUUCUUCUUAGAAAAUGUAGAUGGGCAUUAUUCUCUAAAAAAAAAAACACCCAUACUGGCAUCAGGUGCAGGGGCAGAUGCAUAUCACUGGGACAGAGCGGUGCGCUUUUGUCACCUGGACCACCAAAGACUCUCUAGUCUUGGAAGUGGAUAUUGACGAGUCUUGGUCCUCAAACCUUGGGCUGCUGGAGGGGUUCUAUGAAUCCAUCCUUUUGCCUAAGUUGGUGGAGCAAUAAAUUCAUAUAUCUCUAUAGUCAUGUUUGGUUUCCAGUUUCUGUAACAAAGCAUAUUAAAGAAAAUAUUUAGGCUAAUGAUUACAGCAAUAAUGACAAUGUUAACAAGCAGAAAUUUGUUAACAUUGUCAAUAAAACCUGAUCAAACAUAUAUGCUUACUGAAUAUGUUUUUCUGAAUAUGUAAUAACUAGCUAAACACAAUCUAAAUGCAACCUGAGCAAACAAUAUAUGUGACACUUGCACAGCUGAUUUGUGUCAGUUAAUUAGUAGUUAAAUAGUAGGCAUUUAACUAAGGUAAAAAUGUGAACAGUCAGUCUGCCACUGCAGUGGCAGCCUGACCUGGCAGAAAGUUUUUAGUUGACUGACGGAUGGCCAGGAAGUUGAGUUCAGUCACGGGUGGCCAGUACUUUUACGGAUACUUCACCGAUACAGAACCGGCGUUCUAUCAUUAUAACGUUUUUUCUUCCCUCAGUCUAACCCAGUCUUCCCUUGGCACAGCUGUCCUCCUUACAUUUCUCCUGACGUCAAAUGAUGCGUUUGACGUCAUAUCAGUAGAAAUUUGCUUGCCUGCUAGAAGGGCCGAGAACUACAAACGACUGGUUCCGCGAAUUUGUAAGUGCACCAAUAAGGGAUGAGGGGGGCGGGAGCUUGCGUACAAGAUGUAAACAGAAUGUCCGCCAUGUUUCUUCACCGCUUAGCUAGAGAACUAGACCAACAGAAACCUCAGAUCAUGGCAGAAGCAAAUUUGCAAUGGGAAACAGCCGAGGUGGACAUCCGUGUAUUGAUUCUCGGCCAUGG